rnacentral:rRNA from 1 species
GAUGAACGCUAGCGGCAGGCCUAAUACAUGCAAGUCGGACGGGAUUUGGGAGCUUGCUCCUAAUGAGAGUGGCGCACGGGUGCGUAACACGUAUGUAACCUACCUUAAUCAGGGGGAUAGCCUCUCGAAAGAGAGAUUAACACCGCAUAAUAUAUUUUUAUGGCAUCGUAGAAAUAUCAAAUAUUUAUAGGAUUAAGAUGGGCAUGCGGAACAUUAGCUAGUUGGUAAGGUGACGGCUUACCAAGGCUACGAUGUUUAGGGGAUCUGAGAGGAUGACCCCCCACACUGGUACUGAGACACGGACCAGCCUCCUACGGGAGGCAGCAGUAAGGAAUAUUGGUCAAUGGGCGCAAGCCUGAACCAGCCAUGCCGCGUGCAGGAAGACGGCCCUAUGGGUUGUAAACUGCUUUUGUACCGGAAUAAACCCUUUUACGUGUAGAAGGCUGAAUGUACGGUAAGAAUAAGGAUCGGCUAACUCCGUGCCAGCAGCCGCCGUAAGAC